GCCUGGGUGGCUCAGUCGGUUGAGCGCCUGACUUAGGCUCAGGUCAUGAUCUUACAGGUCAUGAGUUCGAGCCCCGUGUCAGGCU